rnacentral:rRNA from 1 species
GACGAACCGUGCGAACGUUGUUCGGAAUCACUGGGCUUAAAGGGCGCGUAGGCGGGUUCGCAAGUCUGUGGUGAAAGCCUCCAGCUCAACUGGAGAAGUGCCGUGGAUACUGCGAGCCUCGAGGAGGGUAGGGGCAUCUGGAACAGUAGGUGGAGCGGUGAAAUGCGUUGAUAUCUACUGGAACUCCGGUGGCGAAGGCGAGGUGCUGGACCCUUUCUGACGCUGAGGCGCGAAAGCCAGGGGAGCGAACGGG